AGAGUUUGAUCAUGGCUCAGAUUGAACGCUGGCGGCAGGCCUAACACAUGCAAGUCGAACGGUAACAGGAAGCAGCUUGCUGCUUCGCUGACGAGUGGCGGACGG
rnacentral:rRNA from 1 species